CCCAGGAACCGCUGUGGCACCCACAUAACCCUCUGGCUGGUCGGCGCUCACCCUCGCCCAGAGGAUGGCGUCGUGACCAGGCAGGUGUGUGCAUCCUAUACUAGUAGUUGCUGCCAAUACAAUCAACCAUCCAUCCAGGUUAAAGCGUGUCCUGGAAACUACACUGUUUACAACCCGGUGGAUCCUGUGCACUGUCAUUCGGCGUACUGUACAGAUUUAAGUGACAAAGGAGCCCUUCCAACUAAACGUCCUGAUCCAAGUCAUGUUGUUGGUCUGCUGAUGAAGGUCUCUGCCGUUGAGAAUUUGAAUGAAACUGAGAUUGAGGAGCAGAUACUGAAGCCAUUUGGAGAAGCCCUGAGAGCACAAGGAGUAAAUGUAACUGGGAUCCGGUUGAGAGCAGUUCAUCAGAUUGGACCUUAGGGGAACAGAGGAGGAGUGUGAAGCACGAUGCUGGACACUCACCCACUGCAGAGAAGAUAUGGAGACGUAAAAAGGAGAUUAUUCUGUGUGUGAUGGCUAAUCUGUUUACCUAAACAUGAGAUUACAUUAUUAUUCUGUGUGUGAUGGCUAAUCUGUUUUCCUAAACAUGAAACCGCAUUAUGUGAGUGAUGGCUAAAAGUCUUUGAAAUCUUUUUUUCUAGACAGCAUUAUGACUGUACUGUAUAUGUGAUGGCUAGAAAUCUGUCUCCCUUAACAUCAGACUGCAUUAUGUGUAACAUCUUUAAAAAAAAGAUAUGUUUUCCUAAACAUAAGUCUGCAUUAUUUGUGAUGGCGGAGCAUUAUGAUUGUGUGUGAUGGAAGAAAAUCUAUUUUCCUCAACGUGAGACAGCGUUAUGACUGUAGUC